rnacentral:tRNA from 11 species
GCUCCAGUCGCACAAUCUGGUCGUGCAACGGACUCUUAAUCCGUGUGGAUGUCGGUUCAAAUCCGACCUGGAGUAC